GCGUAGUAAUAUCUUCGGCUGCCCUACAUAAUUCCACAUGGCUUCGCUUCCGUCGACCGGAAGAAGCCCGGCGGCGAUGGCGAACAAACUCCACCGCUUGUUGACCAUCCCAUGGAAUCGUGAGAUCGCGCAGCCGGGAUUAGGGCUAGGGUUGAGGUUUCCGGGCGCGAGGUCCCUUGCGUCUUCCGUUCCAACGCCGGAAGAGGCAGCUCGAUUCGCUCCCUCUCCUACCCCGUCCAAGCCGGAAGUGGAGGAGGAAGACUCGGCCAGGACGAAAGGGGAAGAAGGCACCACGGUGGACGAAGAGGACGAUGGCGUCCACGUGAACAAGCUCACCGGCGAGGUCGGCGGGCCGAAGGGCCCCGAACCUACGCGGUACGGCGAUUGGGAGCGCGGAGGCCGCUGCUCAGACUUUUAGUUACUUGAAUCAACAAGGCACUUUGAAUAAACAAAGGAGGCCAGACAUGGAGUCAUCAAAUAGAUUACCUGCAUCUAGUGUAAGCCCUGCUUAAAUGCGAUGUCACGACUCCAGUCUUGAGGUGGUGUAAGCCCUGUUUAUUUAAAGGCAAAUAGACUCUUGUAGCAGUUUUUGCAAGAACAAGUCACUAAACUGAAUGAUGUCCCAUCAGCAUUGAAUAAUUUCAAUAUUUUUAUUAAUGUAAUUGGUAGAUGCUGAAUUUUGUCCAGUUCUUUGUUGAUCUGAGCAAACACCAAUAUAACCAGGUUCCUAGUGUGGCUAUUCUUAUCUGCAUCCAACAUUUAAGCUCUUGGAUCUGUGAUAAUUCCCUGCUUCCCUGCUUCCGCGUCUGUGUAGCUUCCAGAUCACCGUCACCGUUUCUCCUUGGACUGUAACAGGUUUCCACCAUCUAAAGGGUAUCAGUAACAAUAUAUUAUGGGGGCAAAAACCGGAUGAUGUAAGAUCACAGGGAACAAAGUCAAACUAUCUUAUGGUAUCUGUGCAUAGAAGUCUACAGAUCUCGGAUACGAUCAGCUGUUCUUACCGUAGAAUAAAUAUUAAA